rnacentral:rRNA from 1 species
GUCUACAGCCAUGCCACUCUGAACAAGCCUGAUCUCAUCUGAUCUUGGGAGCUAAGCAGGGUUGGGCCUGGUUAGUACUUGGAUGGGAGACCACCUAGGAAGAACAGGUGCUGUAGAAG